GAUUUAAUCCAACGGUCCUAGUUUGAUCUUCAUCCUAGGUAUUUAAAGCCUAAAAUCACCAAAAAAUUUCCCCAUUUCCCCCUUAUUUCCUCUCUUUUCUUUCCCUCUCCUUCUUCUCUCUCUCUUCACUCUCUCUACGCCGCCCCAACUCCGCCCACCGCCGCCUACCGGAAAUCGCCACCGGCGGCGGACCACCUCCAAACACCUCCAAAUUCACACCACGUAAUCUCCACAACUUCCUCUUUUCAUAUCUCCAAACCAAAUCUUAAAAAAAUCCCUCAAACUCCUUGAAUCUUAGAUCCAGGAAACUUUCCCGUCACUUUUUUUGCCCAACUUCUUGAAGCUUCAACCACUACCACCCCAAAAUACUUACAUCAAUGAAUAGAGCUCCUCAAGACCUAGCUAUUGAUGUCAAUUCUACCCCAAAAAUCCGGUGACCAAAAUCCGGCCUAAUUCCUGCAACCUCCCGGAAUACCCUCUUUGGCAUACCACCAUUUUUCGGCCUUUUCAUGUGUAAAAUGGUAAUCCUUUAAGACUCGUAAUGUACGUAUUUUCAGCAAUGGGAACAACUUGAACAUGCUGCACCAUUUAAAUGUGUUUGAUGUGAUGAAUAGUUUGACAACAAAAGAGCUUGUAUGUUAUUGUUAUGUAUCAAGCAUGUGAUAAUGUGAAUAUAGUCCUUCAUAAUACUUGAAUAUUGAGUUGUAAGUUUUUGAAUGUGAUAUGUAAGUCGUUUAUGGAUUUUUUAAGCA